ACAGACCACCGAAGAGGCAACAUGUAAGCUGUCACACUGAGAAAGAGCUAUUCUGCAGAGGUUGUCUGCAAGGCAGAACCUAUCUGAACAGAUGUUCAAUGUCCCGUGACCUGGAGCAUCAAGAGGAUACUUGGGAGCCACUACAGUUUUGAAAUUGGUUCCCCAUUGUACUCCAGGCUAGUAUUGAACUCACUCUGUGGCCCAGAUGGAUGUGGAACUCUCAGCGAUCCUCCUGCUUCUGCCUCUUACAUGCUGGAUUCUAGGCAUGAGCCACCACAGCCAGCCCUCUUCAGGUUUU